AACGAACGCUGGCGGCAUGCCUAACACAUGCAAGUCGAACGGGAUCCUAGCUUGCUAGGUGAGAGUGGCGGACGGGUGAGUAACACGUGGGAAUCUGCCUUUUGGUUCGGGAUAACCGCGGGAAACUGCGGCUAAUACCGAAUGCCCUCGAGAGAGGAAAGAUUUAUCGCCAGAAGAGGAGCCCGCGUCCGGUUAGGUAGUUGGUGGGGUAAAGGCCUACCAAGCCGACGAUCGGUAGCUGGUCUGAGAGGAUGAUCAGCCACACUGGGACUGAGAUACGGCCCAGACUCCUACGGGAGGCAGCAGUGGGGAAUAUUGGACAAUGGGGGCAACCCUGAUCCAGCAAUGCCGCGUGAGUGAUGAAGGCCUAGGGUUGUAAAGCUCUUUUGCCAGGGAGAUGAUGACUGUACCUGGAGAAUAAGCCCCGGCUAACUUCGUGCCAGCAGCCGCGGUAAU
rnacentral:rRNA from 1 species